rnacentral:lncRNA from 1 species
UGCACCAGAACGCACCCAGCGCCAGGCUUGCUCUCCAUGAACCUGUCCUCCUGGACAAUGGGAUCUGGAGCAGAAUGGACACAUGACCCAGGUUGUGCCAAUCAAAUUCUCUCUCUGAAGAGUUUGAUCUGAGAGGCACAGGGACAUGUGGGGAACAUGGGGUUCACAUGAAGGGCAAGAGCGUUGAGGAUUCUAGCUGGUGAAGAAGCUGACAAGGCCUUGCUUUGUGCUUACGAUGGUCACCUUCUCCACGAAUCCCAGGAGCUUCUCGAGUAUCUACAGUCUCAAGCUGUCUUGAGUUAAUUGCCUCUUAACAAGUUUUAACUAAAACAAACUUUUUUGGGGGGCUACUAAGUGUCCAGCACAUUGCAAGUUACUAGAGAUAAGACAAGACGUUAAGAGCUGCCAUCCAGGGGAAAAGGACAGGCACACAAUAAUGGGAAAGUCAUUGCCCAGAAAGUUCAUUGCCCGGGAAGCUGCCCAGCCAUGAGGGCUCAGGAGUUCAGAGAAGGGAGCUGUUAUGGUUUGGAUGUUUCACGUCCUGGAAAAGCUUAUGGGGCAAUCCAGGAAUGUUAGGAGGUGAUUAGAUUAGAUUAUGAAAGCUAUAACCUUUUCAGUUGAUUAAUCCAUAUGAUGGGUUAAUAAUUUGAAUAGACUCUCUGGUUGUAACUAUAGGCAGGUGGGAGUGGCUGAAGGAAGUAGGUCACUGGGGGUGUGCUCUUGGACUAUGUCGUGUCCCUGGCUUCUCUCUCUCUCUCUCUCUCUCUCUCUCUCUCUCUCUCUCUGUCUGCCUUCUGGCUGUCAGUAGGUAAGCAGCUUCCCUCUACCACAUCCUUUUGCAUGAUGUUCUGCCUUAUCUUGGGUCAGGCCAAUGGAGUUGGUCACUCACGGACUGAACCUCUGAAACC